ensembl:lncRNA
GAUUUCCUUGCCUCCAGCCUGCCAUCUAGCACAUCACAAUAAAGUCAUUUUUGCAAGGAUUUUAUGACACCAUGAAAAGAGUGAAUGAAGUACCAAAGUAACAAGAAAAUUCAUUUAUCUCCUGAAAAGUUUUUGUCUGAACCAAUGUAAAUGGACAAUGACUUAUUCGACAUAAUGGCAACGAUGCCAGUUACAAGGGAUCAGCACACUACAAUCUAUUAGCCAAAUCUAGCUCACCACCCAUUUUUAGCUGUGUUCUCAGUCGCUUCAGUCAUGUCCAACUCUUUGCAAACUUAGCCUGCCAGGCUCCUCUGUACACCGGAUUCUCCAGCAAGAAUACAGGAGUGGGUUGCUGUGCCCUCCUCCAGGGGAUCUUCCCACCCCAGGAAUUGAACCCAUAUAUCUGGCAUCUCCGGCAUUGCCAGCAGGUUCUUUACCCGCUGAACUGCCUGGGAAGCCCUUCUUCCCUUUCCACUUCCCUCCAGUCAUACUGUCAUCAGAUCGUUCUCACAUUCUUCAAAGUUACAGAUUCUUUGCGUACUGUUAGGUAUAGGUUUUACUUCACUUGUAGGUGGUCUUGGGGAUGUCUUUCCACAUGUGAAAAUCUUCAAAGGCAUUUAACUUUGCCUAUUUUAAAUGUAUUAUACAUACUUAACAACAAACAUGUUAAGUCAUUGCUCUUUGCACAUUUGUCUCCAAGGAGUAUGGCUUUGCUCUUUGCAUUGAUGUAUAAUAACUUAAUAACUUUCUACUUACUGAGAAUUCUCAGAUGAAAUAGAUAAGCAAAGAGGGUAAAAA